rnacentral:rRNA from 1 species
CACGUAGGGCGCGAGCGUUGUCCGGAAUUAUUGGGCGUAAAGAGCUCGUAGGUGGCCUGUUGCGUCCGCUGUGAAAGCCCGGGGCUUAACCCCGGGUCGGCAGUGGAUACGGGCAGGCUAGAGGUAGGUAGGGGAGAAUGGAAUUCCCGGUGUAGCGGUGAAAUGCGCAGAUAUCGGGAGGAACACCGGUGGCGAAGGCGGUUCUCUGGGCCUUACCUGACGCUGAGGAGCGAAAGCGUGGGGAGCGAACAGG